AGUGAACGCUGGCGGUAGGCCUAACACAUGCAAGUCGAACGGCAGCACAGUAAGAGCUUGCUCUUACGGGUGGCGAGUGGCGGACGGGUGAGGAAUACAUCGGAAUCUACUUUUUCGUGGGGGAUAACGUAGGGAAACUUACGCUAAUACCGCAUACGACCUACGGGUGAAAGCAGGGGAUCUUCGGACCUUGCGCGAUUGAAUGAGCCGAUGUCGGAUUAGCUAGUUGGCGGGGUAAAGGCCCACCAAGGCGACGAUCCGUAGCUGGUCUGAGAGGAUGAUCAGCCACACUGGAACUGAGACACGGUCCAGACUCCUACGGGAGGCAGCAGUGGGGAAUAUUGGACAAUGGGCGGAAGCCUGUUCCAGCCAUACCGCGUGGGUGAAGAAGGCCUUCGGGUUGUAAAGCCCUUUUGUUGGGAAAGAAAAGCAGCAGGUUAAUACCCCGCUGUUCUGACGGUACCCAAAGAAUAAGCACCGGCUAACUUCGUG
rnacentral:rRNA from 1 species